UACGUAGGGGGCAAGCGUUGUCCGGAAUCAUUGGGCGUAAAGCGCGUGUAGGCGGCUCGAUAAGUCUGCUGUGAAAGUCCAGGGCUCAACCCUGGGAUGCCGGUGGAUACUGUCGGGCUCGAGUCCGGAAGAGGCGAGUGGAAUUCCUGGUGUAGCGGUGAAAUGCGCAGAUAUCAGGAGGAACACCAAUGGCGAAGGCAGCUCGCUGGGACGUGACUGACGCUGAGACGCGAAGGCGUGGGGAGCAAACAGG
rnacentral:rRNA from 1 species